GAGUUUGAUCGUGGCUCAGAUUGAACGCUGGCGGCAUGCCUUACACAUGCAAGUCGAACGGCAGCAUGAUCUAGCUUGCUAGAUUGAUGGCGAGUGGCGAACGGGUGAGUAAUACAUCGGGAACGUGCCCUGUAGUGGGGGAUAACUAGUCGAAAGAUUAGCUAAUACCCGCAGUACGACCGUGAGGGUGAAAGUGGGGGACCGCAAGGCCUCAUGCUAUAGGAGCGGCCGAUGUCUGAUUAGCUAGUUGGUGGGGUAAAGGCCCACCAAGGCGACGAUCAGUAGCUGGUCUGAGAGGACGGAUCAGCCACACCUGGGACUGAGACACGGCCCAGACUCC
rnacentral:rRNA from 1 species